rnacentral:tRNA from 1 species
GGAGGGUUGGCCGAGCGGUUUAAGGCACCGGUCUUGAAAACCGGCAACAGGGUAACCUGUUCGUGAGUUCGAAUCUCACACCCUCCGCCA